rnacentral:rRNA from 1 species
CGCUGGCGGCGUGCCUAACACAUGCAAGUCGAACGCGAAAGCCCCGCAAGGGGUAAGUAGAGUGGCAAACGGGUGAGUAACACGUGGGUGACCUGCCUUCGAGUGGGGGAUAACGUCCCGAAAGGGACGCUAAUACCGCAUGACAUCCUGCUUUUGAACGAGCGGAGAUCAAAGCUGGGGUCGCAAGACCUAGCGCUUGAAGAGGGGCCCGCGUCCGAUUAGCUAGUUGGUGAGGUAACGGCUCACCAAGGCUACGAUCGGUAGCCGGCCUGAGAGGGCGGACGGCCACACUGGGACUGAGACACGGCCCAGACUCCUACGGGAGGCAGCAGUGGGGAAUUGUUCGCAAUGGGCGCAAGCCUGACGACGCAACGCCGCGUGGAGGAUGAAGAUCUUCGGGUCGUAAACUCCUUUCGAUCGAGACGAAUGAUCUCCGGGUGAACAAUCCGGGGAAAUGACGGUACCGAGAGAAGAAGCCCCGGCUAACUCCGUGCCAGCAGCCGCGGUAAUACGGGGGGGGCAAGCGUUGUUCGGAAUUACUGGGCGUAAAGGGCUCGUAGGCGGCCAACUAAGUCAGACGUGAAAUCCCUCGGCUUAACCGGGGAACUGCGUCUGAUACUGGUUGGCUUGAAUCCGGGAGA